AACAUCUAAGUACCCCGAGGAAAAGAAAUCAACCGAGAUUCCGAAAGUAGCGGCGAGCGAAAUUGGACUAGCCCUUAAGCUUUACACGCGUUAGACGAACGGUCUGGAAAGUCCGACGAUACAGGGUGAUAGUCCCGUAGUUGACGACGUGUGUUCAGUGAAAUCGAGUAGGGCGGGACACGUGAUAUCCUGUCUGAAUAUGGGGGGACCAUCCUCCAAGGCUAAAUACUACUGACUGACCGAUAGUGAACCAGUACCGUGAGGGAAAGGCGAAAAGAACCCCUGUGAGGGGAGUGAAAUAGAACCUGAAACCGUGUACGUACAAGCAGUAGGAGCAGGCUUUGUCCUGUGACUGCGUACCUUUUGUAUAAUGGGUCAGCGACUUAUAUUCAGUGGCAAGGUUAACCAUCUAGGGGAGCCGUAGGGAAACCGAGUCUUAACUGGGCGUUCAGUCUCUGGAUAUAGACCCGAAACCAGGUGAUCUAGCCAUGGGCAGGUUGAAGGUUGAGUAACAUCAACUGGAGGACCGAACCGACUAAUGUUGAAAAAUUAGCGGAUGACUUGUGGCUAGGGGUGAAAGGCCAAUCAAACCUGGAGAUAGCUGGUUCUCCCCGAAAGCUAUUUAGGUAGCGCCUCGGACGAAUACUACUGGGGGUAGAGCACUGUUAAGGCUAGGGGGUCAUCCCGACUUACCAACCCUUUGCAAACUCCGAAUACCAGUAAGUACUAUCCGGGAGACACACGGCGGGUGCUAACGUCCGUCGUGGAGAGGGAAACAACCCAGACCGCCAGCUAAGGUCCCAAAUUACUACUAAGUGGGAAACGAUGUGGGAAGGCUCAGACAGCCAGGAUGUUGGCUUAGAAGCAGCCAUCAUUUAAAGAAAGCGUAAUAGCUCACUGGUCGAGUCGGCCUGCGCGGAAGAUGUAACGGGGCUAAGUAGUAAACCGAAGCUGCGGCAAUGUGCUUUUGCACAUUGGGUAGGGGAGCGUUCUGUAAGCGGUUGAAGGUGUGUGGUAACGCAUGCUGGACGUAUCAGAAGUGCGAAUGCUGACAUGAGUAACGAUAAAGGGGGUGAAAAACCUCCUCGCCGGAAGACCAAGGGUUCCUGUCCAACGUUAAUCGGGGCAGGGUAAGUCGACCCCUAAGGCGAGGCCGAAAGGCGUAGUCGAUGGGAAACGGGUUAAUAUUCCCGUACUUCUUACAAUUGCGAUGGGGGGACGGAGAAGGCUAGGUGGGCCUGGCGACGGUUGUCCAGGUUCAAGUGCGUAGGCUUAAGAGUUAGGUAAAUCCGGCUCUUUUUAAGGCUGAGACACGACGUCGAGCACCUACGGGUGUGAAGUCAUUGAUGCCAUGCUUCCAGGAAAAGCCUCUAAGCUUCAGAUUGUAAGGAAUCGUACCCCAAACCGACACAGGUGGUCGGGUAGAGAAUACCAAGGCGCUUGAGAGAACUCGGGUGAAGGAACUAGGCAAAAUGGUACCGUAACUUCGGGAGAAGGUACGCUCUCGACGGUGAAGUCCCUCGCGGAUGGAGCUAUUGAGAGUCGCAGAUACCAGGUGGCUGCAACUGUUUAUUAAAAACACAGCACUGUGCAAAAUCGUAAGAUGACGUAUACGGUGUGACGCCUGCCCGGUGCCGGAAGGUUAAUUGAUGGGGUUAGACUUCGGUCGAAGCUCUUGAUCGAAGCCCCGGUAAACGGCGGCCGUAACUAUAACGGUCCUAAGGUAGCGAAAUUCCUUGUCGGGUAAGUUCCGACCUGCACGAAUGGCGUAAUGAUGGCCACGCUGUCUCCACCCGAGACUCAGUGAAAUUGAAAUCGCUGUGAAGAUGCAGUGUACCCGCGGCUAGACGGAAAGACCCCGUGAACCUUUACUACAGCUUGGCACUGAACAUUGACCCUACAUGUGUAGGAUAGGUGGGAGGCUUUGAAGCACGUACGCCAGUAUGUGUGGAGCCGUCCUUGAAAUACCACCCUUGUAGUGUUGAUGUUCUAACGUCGACCCCUAAUCGGGGUUGCGGACAGUGCCUGGUGGGUAGUUUGACUGGGGCGGUCUCCUCCCAAAGAGUAACGGAGGAGCACGAAGGUGGGCUAAUCACGGUUGGACAUCGUGAGGUUAGUGCAAUGGCAUAAGCCCGCUUGACUGCGAGAAUGACAAUUCGAGCAGGUGCGAAAGCAGGUCAUAGUGAUCCGGUGGUUCUGAAUGGAAGGGCCAUCGCUCAACGGAUAAAAGGUACUCCGGGGAUAACAGGCUGAUACCGCCCAAGAGUUCAUAUCGACGGCGGUGUUUGGCACCUCGAUGUCGGCUCAUCACAUCCUGGGGCUGAAGUCGGUCCCAAGGGUAUGGCUGUUCGCCAUUUAAAGUGGUACGCGAGCUGGGUUUAGAACGUCGUGAGACAGUUCGGUCCCUAUCUGCCGUGGGCGUUGGAAGAUUGAAGGGGGCUGCUCCUAGUACGAGAGGACCGGAGUGGACGAACCUCUGGUGUUCGGGUUGUGUCGCCAGACGCAUUGCCCGGUAGCUAAGUUCGGAAUCGAUAACCGCUGAAAGCAUCUAAGCGGGAAGCGAGCCCUGAGAUGAGUCUUCCCUGAUACUUUAAGUAUCCUAAAGGGUUGUCGGAGACUACGACGUUGAUAGGUCAGGUGUGUAAGUGCUGUGAGGCAUUGAGCUAACUGAUACUAAUUGCCCGUGAGGCUUAACCAU
rnacentral:rRNA from 1 species